rnacentral:lncRNA from 1 species
CACAUCUAAACAAGCCAAAACUGAAGCACAACUAAAAUUAAGCACAAAUAAAAAAUAGCACACAUGCAAACAUUUAAGACAUAAUAGCAUGUAAGAGCAACUUCUAAAAUAUGCUUGUCUACAUUGUAUGCAAAUUUUCAUAAAACAAAAUCACUGUGGGAUAAAAAAAAAAAAAAAUAAUAAAAAUGCCCUAAUGCGACGGCCC